AGUCACUCACUGUCAAGUGUUUUUCCAGAAUCACAACACAGCAGAGUCUCAAGGAGGGAUUCAAAGGAGGAUCAGGUGUUGGUUGCACAGAUUUUCUCAGGGAGUUUUCUCCAUACAGAUAGGGCAGCAUGGGAGAAAAUGCAAAGACACAGAGGAGCCCUGGCAGGUGCUUAGGUGCAACCAGUGCAGUGAGUGAGGGGACAGCAAGUCAGGCUGGCAAUGAAGGGACAUCUCUCCACUCCGGUGCUGUGGCUUCUUCUCCUCACAAUUCAGGACACAGCAGGUGCUGAGGAGCUGAGGCUGGCGGAUGGAGGCAGCCCCUGUGCCGGGAGAGUGGAGGUUAAACACCAGGAUCAGUGGGGGACGGUGUGUCAUUUGGGCUGGGACAAGACAGAUGCUGGGGUUGUUUGUAAGCAGUUGGAAUGUGGAGUUGCUGUCAGUGCCCAUCGUAAUGCUCAUUUUGGAGCAGGAUCUGGACCAAUUUGGCUGGAUAACAUUGCCUGUCGUGGUACCGAGUCUGCUCUCUGGCAGUGCCGGAACAGGGGAUGGGGUAAGCAUUAUUGUGAUCAUGGCCUGGAUGCUGGAGUGACCUGUUCAGGUAAGAAUCAGCCACCUCUGUCCUGAAAGACAAAUCCCCUGAGACAAAAGGGCUUGAACCCACAGCGUGUUGUGUGCCUGUGACCCUAACGAGAAAUGAACAAAAAGGAGAGCAAGUCCUGUAAUGAUUGUUAUUACUGAGCUGUAAUUAUUACUGUUCAUGUCUCUGGCCACUGAGGAGCCCCAUGUGUGACUGUGCAGCAUUUUCAUUAUCUCAUUUCCAGUUGUUUCAGUGCCACAUCUUUCCUUUCCCUUUCCCUCUGAAUGGGUCUAAAAAUGCAGAUAGGAGAGAAAAUGGAAAAGGAAAAUGUCACAUAGGCUCCUAAGUCACUGAGGCACUUUUGAAAAUGUUACACUCAUGCUAAAAUCCAGACCCAGAAACCCAACCCCAGAGGUACAGAGGCUGGGGCAUGUAUGUAGCCCCUUUGCCACCCUCAUAGGGUGACCAAGGAAUGGGCAGAUUCUCCCAGCUUGGCCAGAAUUAGAUUUCGCCAAAAGCACUCCCCCCUCUGCUCUGUUACUUCUCACAUUUUGUACCAACCAGUAACAGAAAAUUUCACACUCUCUGAUACCCUGUAGAUCUAGAGUAGAAUAGAGAGCUCAGCCAAAAAUAUACCUCAACCCUACACAGCACAGGGAUAUCAUAUUAUGGAGGCAUUUGUUGUAACUGAAUAGUUAACAUUACAGCUACAGACCCAUUAUAAGUUUUAUUUUUAAGUUCUCUCCUCUGA